GCAGAGGGCCUUCUUGGUGGUGGUGCCCUCCCUGUGGAACACCCUCCCACCAGAUGUCAAAGAACAACAACUACUAAACUUUUAGAAGACAUCUGAAGGCAGCCCUGUUUAGGGAAGCUUUUAAUGUUUGAUGCAUUACUGUAUUUUAAUAUGUUGUUGGAGGGUGUUCCACAGGGCGGGCGCCACCACCGAGAAGGCCCUUUAG